rnacentral:rRNA from 1 species
GUGGGGAAUAUUGGGCAAUGGGGGAAACCCUGACCCAGCAACGCCGCGUGAGGGAAGAAGGUUUUCGGAUUGUAAACCUCUGUCCUUGGUGACGAAGGAAGUGACGGUAACCAAGGAGGAAGCCCCGGCUAACUACGUGCCAGCAGCCGCGGUAAUACGUAGGGGGCAAGCGUUGUCCGGAAUGACUGGGCGUAAAGGGCGUGUAGGCGGCCGAUUAAGUCUGGAGUGAAAGUCCUGCUUUCAAGGUGGGAAUUGCUUUGGAGACUGGUUGGCUUGAGUGCGGAAGAGGUAAGUGGAAUUCCCAGUGUAGCGGUGAAAUGCGUAGAGAUUGGGAGGAACACCAGUGUCGAAGGCGACUUACUGGGCCGUAACUGACGCUGAGGCGCGAAAGCGUGGGGAGCGAACAGGAUUAGAUACCCGUGUAGUCC